AGUGAACGCUGGCGGUAGGCCUAACACGUGCAAGUCGAACGGCAGCACAGGAGAGCUUGCUCUCUGGGUGGCGAGUGGCGGACGGGUGAGGAAUACAUCGGAAUCUACCUUUUCGUGGGGGAUAACGUAGGGAAACUUACGCUAAUACCGCAUACGACCUACGGGUGAAAGUGGGGGACCGCAAGGCCUCACGCGAUUAGAUGAGCCGAUGUCCGAUUAGCUAGUUGGCGGGGUAAUGGCCCACCAAGGCGACGAUCGGUUGCUGGUCUGAGAGGAUGAUCAGCCACACUGGAACUGAGACACGGUCCAGACUCCUACGGGAGGCAGCAGUGGGGAAUAUUGGACAAUGGCGCAAGCCUGAUCCAGCCAUACCGCGUGGGUGAAGAAGGCCUUCGGGUUGUAAAGCCCUUUUGUUGGGAAAGAAAUCCUAUCGGUUAAUAACCGGUGGGGAUGACGGUACCCAAAGAAUAAGCACCGGCUAACUUCGUGCCAGCCGCCGCGGUAAUAC
rnacentral:rRNA from 1 species